rfam:Salmo salar isolate Sally breed double haploid chromosome ssa28, whole genome shotgun sequence.
UGCUCUCACUACUGUAAGUUGCUCUGGACAAGAGCGUCUGCUAAAUUAUGUAAA